AUACGGAAGGCAGCAGUGGGGAAUAUUGCACAAUGGGCGAAAGCCUGAUGCAGCCAUGCCGCGUGUGUGAAGAAGGCCUUCGGGUUGUAAAGCACUUUAGGCGGGGAGGAAAAGCUAAUGAUUAAUACUCAUUAGCCGUGACGUUACCCGCAGAAUAAGCACCGGCUAACUCCGUGCCAGCAGCCGCGGUAAUACGGAGGGUGCAAGCGUUAAUCGGAAUUACUGGGCGUAAAGCGCGCGUAGGCGGUUUGAUAAGCGGAGUGUGAAAUCCCCGGGCUUAACCUGGGAACUGCAUUCCGAACUGUCGAGCUAGAGUAUGAGAGAGGGUGGCGGAAUUCCGAGUGUAGCGGUGAAAUGCGUAGAUAUUCGGAGGAACACCAGUGGCGAAGGCGGCCACCUGGAUCAAUACUGACGCUGAGGCGCGAAAGCGUGGGGAGCAAACAGGAUUAGAUACCCCGGUAGG
rnacentral:rRNA from 1 species